rnacentral:misc_RNA from 1 species
AAGGAUCAUUAGAAAUGCGGGCUCUCUUGAAUUUAUUUUCUUGGGGGUUCAAAAUUUUAUCUUGUGCACUGUUGAUGUUGGUGGGGUUGUCGGUUCCUCUUUUAUUAGGGGAGCUGUCAGCUCUACCUGUCCCUGGGCUUUGGUCCUUUUCCUUUGGGAAGAGAUAACCGGCUCAGUGGAAACCAUAUAACUAUUCUGACUGAACCAAAAGAAAUUUUGUUUAACAUAAACAACUUUCAGCAAUGGAUCUCUCGGCUUUC